AAGCAGUCGUUUCAAGCUUCGCAAAUGUUUUUAGGCGCAACCAAAAUUCCGAUAUAUGUUCCUCGCCAAUGGGGCUAUGUAUUCAUUCCUGAAGCAACU
rnacentral:ribozyme from 1 species